UUUCCAGAGCACAAGUUUCUCAAUUUUAUUUUCAGAUUGUUUAUUGUGUAUAGAAAUACAGUUGUCUUUUGUAUAUUGCUCUUGUACCCUGCAACUUUGUUGAACUUGUUUAUUAGUACUAAUAGUUUUGAAUGGAUUCCUGAGCAUUUUCUGUACAUGAGAUCAUGUCACCUGUGAAUAGAGAGAGUUUUACUUCUCUCCAGCCUAGCCUUUUAUCUCUUCCUCUUGAUGAAUUGACCUGAGCAGAAUCUCUAGGACAGUGUUGAACAGAAGUGGUGAGAGUGGACAUCCUUAUCUUGUUCCUGAUCUUCUGGGGAAAGCAUUCAGUCUUUUAUUUUAAGUAUGAUGCUAGCUGUGAGUUUUUCAUAGAUGGCCUUUAUCAGUUUCAGGAAGUUCCCUUCUAUCUCUAGUUUGUUGACUGGUAGCUUCUUAUACAUGGAUAAGAAGUUCCCACCUUGGGUCCAUGAUGUAGCCAUAUAACUAGAAGGAAGGAUCCCCUGGCUUUAGCCAAGGUCGUAUGUUGUCGGAACUUGUCCAUUCUCAAGAUUUCUAAAUAUGGCUUUUUUAUUAGUGAUUCUCAAAUUUGUGAUUCUGAUUUUGAAUUUUCACCUAAGUUCUAAUCUCUCUGACAUUUGCUUAUUUGAUAAUUCCAAUUAGCUACCAGUCUGCCAUUCCAAAUUCAGCAUGACUUUAUUCAUGCAUUCAUUUGAUUGAUUCAUUUACUGUACAUUGAGUGCUAUUCCAGACUCCAAAGGAUACGAGAAUAUGUUUGGAGAAAUGUCUGGGGUAAGAAUGGCUCUAACACAGAGGACCUGGCAUGUCAACAGAGGACCCUCUUGGAGAUAUGCAGGGGCCAUAUCACGAAGAUCCUGUGAGCUAAGUUCUAAGGAGUUAGAACUUUAUUCUGAAAGUAGUAGUGAGCCACUGAAAGAUCUGAAGCAGGAGAUCAGUGUCAGAUGUGAAUCUUGAACAAAUCAUGAGGAAGGAGAGCUAGUGUAGAAUAUAUAGAUUGAUGUUGAAAAUGAAGCUGGAGGUUGGGGACCUGGUAGUUCUAUCAUUUGAAAAGAAAAGAAAGCCUGAAAUAAGACAGUGGCAGUGGAGCUCUGGUGGCACAGUGACUAAGAGCUACAGUGAGCCAUGGCUCCUAACCAAAAGGUUGGCAGUUCAAAUCCACCAGCUGCUCCUUGGAAACACUGUGGGGAAGCUCUACUCUGUCCUAUAAUUAACUCGGUGACAAUGUUGGUUUUUUGUUUUUUAAGUGGGGAUAGAUCGUAGAUUUUUAGGAAGUCAAAAAUGGAUAGUACUUGGUAACUGGAUUAUAGAGGCUGAAGGAGCAGGACAGUACCUCCAUGAUUCCUAUGGUUUUAACUAGGCAGCCUAAGUGGUUAGGGAACAAACAGAGGGAACUGGUUUGGCAGGAAGAUGAAUUCAUAUUUAGAUAUGUUGGAGUGCUAGCAGCACAUCUACAUUGGGGAAGUGUUAUAGUUGUUGUUAGUUGCCAUCAAGUUGAUUCCGACUCAUGGCGACUCCAUGUGUGCAAAGUAGAACUGGGUUUUCAAGGCUGUCAUCCUUCAUAAGCCAGUAAUCAGGCCUGUCAUCCAAGGCACAUCUAGGUGAGUUCAAACUGUCAACCUUUUGGUUAGUAUUCGAGUGUUUUCAGCGUCUGCACCACCUUGGAAAUCCUAGGCGGUUAAAUGUGAGGCUGGAUUCAGAGAAAAAUGUUUUAGGUGAUAAUUAAUGUGAAUGAGGUCACUCAAGGAAUGAGCAGAGCUCGUGGUCAAUGAGAGUAUAAUGGAGACUAUAGGAUGAAUAGAGGAAAGGAAACCUGAAAUUAAGCUACAAGAGGUAGGAAGAAAGCUACGAGAGGCUGCUGUUACAGGCCAAAGUAGGGAAGAAUUAGCUCAAUUUUUCGUUAUCCUUUAGUUUUCCUUUUAACCAGUACAUUGUUUUAAACUUUAACAUGAAAAUUUUUUGUUUUGCUUUUCCCAUUUGCCUCAUGGUCUUUACUACCUAAGCCAGUGUUUCCUAACUUGGACAUAUACCAGAGUCACUUGGUGAGAUUAAAUGCAGGUUCUUUGGGUCCUGGUAGACCUACUGAAUGAGAAUCACCUGGGAUGAUACCUUAGAAUCUGUAUUUUUUAAAAACUUCUGUGAUAAAGACUUGCUCUUUACCAAGCUUGUUUCUUUUUAUCCCUGAUGCCAGCUAACCUACAUUUACUAGUCCCUUUGCUGUUGCGGAUGGCCAUAUGAUUGAGAUCUUUCCAUAGGAAAUUAAGCAGAAGUGUUGAGUGUCACUUUAUCCACUGCAAAUAUGAAGCCCCCUUGAUCGAUCCUCUCUCUUCCCCACCUGCUGCCUGGCAGUUGUAUGUAUGAUAGAGCAACAUUGGAAACGAGGGGUCAAAUAGAGCUGAGCAUCUGUCAGCCUGCGUCGUCUCCACCCUCCUCAAACUGAUCAUUAUCACUGAUUUUGGUCUUUCUGUAUGCAUGGAUUAAAAAUAAUGUGUUAUGCCACAGUUUUGGAAUUUACGUAUUAUACCAUCCAUUGUUACAUUAGCCAGUAUGGUUUCUUAGAUUACUAUUGAAGGAUCAGAAUUUGGGAACCAUGGCCCUUUGUCUAUGCCAUUUGUAUUUUUAAACUCAUUUAUAUGGUAGGGUAGUCUUCAGUUUCAAACAAUGUAUUGCAUUAGGCAAAUCUGCUGCAAAGACCUCUUUAAAUUAUUAAAAAGCAAAGAUGUCACUUUGGGGACUAAGGUGCACCUGACCCAAGCCAUGGUAUUUUCAGUUGCCUCAUAUACAUGUGAAAACUGGACAAUGAAUAAGGAAGGCUGAGAAAGAAUUGAUGCCUUUGAAGUACGGUGUUGACGAAGAAUAUUUAAUAUACCGUGAACGGACAGAAGAGCAAACAAAUAUGUCUUGGAAGAAGUAGCAGCCAGAAUGCUCCCUAGAAGCGAGGAUGGUGAGAUCGUGUACUUCUGGCAUGUUAUCAGGAAGGACCAGUUCCUAGAGAAGGAUAUCAUGCUUGGUAAAGUAGAGUGUCAGCAAAAAAGAAGACCCUCAACAAGAUCGAUAGACACAGUGGCUACAACAGUGGGCUUAAACAUAGCAAGGAUUGUGAGGAUGGCGCGGUUACUGGGCAGUAUUUCAUUCUGUUGUACAUAGGGUCACUGUGAGUUGGAACUAACUCGAUGGCACCUGACGACAAUAGUCUUCAGUUGUUGACUUACAGGGAUUGUAGGUAAAUAUUGUGUUUUUUUUUUUUUUUCUGUAAUAAUUUUAAUGGAAAUGGUUUUGUUAACAUCCUGAUAAUUUUAUUAAAUGACAAACAUCUGCAUGCUUACUGCCUCCUGGUCUUUGAUGCUGGAGAUACAUCUAUAUAUAAAACAAAGGGUCUGCCUUCUGGUGUGGAAUAAGGUGGACUCAGAUAAGGGCAGAUGUCUUAGUACUUUGGAGCGCCAAGGGAGAAGUGGCUAAUUGAACCCAAGGUGGAGUGGGUGGAGUCCUUCUCGAUGUUUAUAUCCCUUUUGUAAUAUUGUUCUCUUUUGUACUUGUUGGACAGGAGUCAUACAUAACCUCUUUAAAAUAUCCCUUUAAACGAAAAAAACCAAACCUGCUUCCAUUGAAUCGAUUCCAACUCCUAGUGACCUUAUAGGACAGAGUUUCCAAGGAGCGCUUGGUGGAUUCCCUUUAGAAGAUCGAAAACCACAAGGACAUGUUUGGUAGAUUUGUGUUCCGUGGGGUGUGCUGAACAUGUGCCUUUUCUUAAUCUCCAUCACUAAGAAAAUUAUUUAAGAGAGCUAUAAAUUUCAGUCUUGAUGCAGAUUAUAUUGUUAAAUGUUGCCUGCAAUUAACAAAGAAAAAAAUGUAAAGAAAACCUUAUUGAUGAUAUUUACUCUUUCCCUCUUCCUUUGUAGGGAAAUUUUGGAUUGGGAAUGGUGAAAGUCAGAAAGAACCUACUUUCUUCAUAAACAUGGUGCUCUGACGGUUUGACUGUUAGAGUUGAUCACUACAGAGACUAUUUUGCAUGUUCUCAUGAAUUACUGGAGUCCUGGUGCCAUAGUGUUUAAGAACCCAGCUGCUAACCAAAAGGUCAGCAGUUUGAAUCUACCAGCCACUCCUUGGAAACGCUGUGGGGCAGUUCUGCUCUGUCCUGUUGGCUUGUUAUGAGUUGGAAUCUACUCGACAGCCUCAAGUUUCGGGUUUGGGUUGCUUUGGCUGUUUGGAGCCCCUCCCAGUUUCAUAUGAAUUCAAGGAUUGAGUUUCCCAUUUCUGCCAAGAAACUGUUGGAAUUUGUGACUUGUGGAAUUAAAGAGAGAGAUGCCUGAAAACUAGAGACACAGAAGUAUAUUUUUCAGAAAGGGGAAGAAGGAAGACUAUAGAGCUUGCUAUGGCCCUCAGGCGAAGAGAGACCAAUUGUUGUGCCUUGGAUGACCACUUGCAAGCUUUUAAGAACCCAGGCACUAUGCAAGGAACCAGGAGGUAGAAAAGAAGCACUAAACAUGUUAUUAGGCCAAUUAACAGGGAUGUCGUGUGAAACUGUGACUCAUGAUGACCCAGUAUAUGCAGAGUAAAACUGUUCUCCACAGGGUUUUCAAGACUGUGGCCUUUCUGAAGCAGAUCACCAGGCCUAUCUUUCAAGCUUUAAGGCCGUACAACCCACCAGACAUUGGGCCACCUCACAGGAAACUGGUCAAGAGAACAGGAGACAUUCAAUGAGAGUUUUCUUUCUUGGUGUUUCAGGAGAACUAGAAAGAGUCACAGCCUUUCCUUAAUGUUGAUGUAUUUAUUGAGGAGGAAAGAAAUUAUGUAACAGGGAAGUGUGGGGCACUGUUUGAGAACUCGGUCUUACCUGGCUAGUUAUGGAACAUUCUUAUGCCUUGUUUAAGGAUUUCUUUUUUUUAUUUUUCAGAAUUUGUUUUCAGGAAGACAGGAGGAAAGGAAGACAUCUCAGGAUCCCAUUUCAAGGGUCCUUUGGCUACAUUUCCACUGUCAGAACAUUUUCUCCAAGAGUCCUGGGCCAGACACCUGGAUUUCCAGAUGGGUUUUGUAGUCAAGGAGAUUUUAGAGAGGGGAGGUAUUUCAGUUAUGUAGAAAAGUUCAGUUAUCUAAAGAAUUUAUUUUAUAAAAUACCACAAAUCUUUGUGACCUAAAACAACAGCAAUUUAUUACUUUUCAUGAUUUUGUGGACUGACUGGUAUCAACUGAGUGGUUUUGUUGCGCAUGGUUUAGCUGAGGUCACUCAUGGGCUACAUUUAGCUGGAAGCCCGGCUGGGACUAGGACAUCUAAGAUGGCCUCUCAUCCUCUAAUACCUCUCACCAUUUGGUAAUGUAGCCCAAGUUUCUUCAUACCAUGGCUUUUAGCUUCCAAGAAGGAAUAUUUCAAGAGGACAAGCCCCAAUAUGCAAGCACUAAUCAAGCCUCUGCUGGCAUCAUUUUGCUAAUGUCUCAUUGGCCAAAGCAAGUCACAUGAUCAAGUCUAGAGUCAGUGUGGCAGGGGGCUACACAAGGGUGCAAACACCAGGAGGUUUUUGUUCACUGGAGGCCACCACUAUAACGAUUUACCACAAGUGAGCAGGGCAGUUUUGCACACUGGAUCCUCAGUUGUCAGUGCUUAGUUAUGGAUGCGUAACUUAAGAUCUGGUCCUUGACUUUGCAGUUCCAGAAACUCUGUGUGAUUAGGAGUUCAUGCUUAGCCGCAUGCGUUUAUCUGAAAUUGCUUCUCAUCAUCACUCGAAGACGUGAAUUUAGGCUGUCAUAGUUUUAUCUCAAGAUUCUGUCGUCUAGGCCACAGAUGGUUGAACCAGAGUGGACACCUGACCUAUGACUCUGUUGGCUGAGCUGACCCAAUUGGACUUUCUCUUAAGACUCUGGAAUGGGAAUACUGAGAGACUAAGAUCCAAACUGGUGAAGAGAUUAUAGAAAAUCUCGUAGAUAGUCUGAAACGAGUUCAGAAAUAUAUCUAAACUCCUGAGAUGACUAGAAAAUUAGACCGCUAAACCAUAGUUUAAGUGGUUAAGUGCUAUGGCUGCCAACCAAAAGGUCGGCAGUUUAAUCCGCCAGGCGCUUCUUGGAAACUCUAUGGGGCAGUUCUACUCUGUCCUCUAGGGUCGCUAUGAGUUGGAAUCGACUCAGUGACAGUGGUUUUAAACCAUAGUUAUUAAGAGAUUGGCUGCUAACCAAAAGGUUAGCAGUUUGAAUCCACCAGCUGCUUCUUGGAAACCCUAUGGGCAGUUCUACUUUGUCCUAUAGGGUCGCUAUGAGUUGGAAUCAGCUUGAUGGCAACAGGUAUUCACUAGUGGAUAUAUGUUUCUUCUCAUUCUCUUAUGCUCCAUGACAAUAUGUAGCUGCAAGGGAGGCUGGGAAAUGUCAUCUCUAGCUGAGUAGCCAUGCACCCAACUACUAUGGAAGAAGGAGAAAGUGUGUUUUAGUGAAGACACCUGCUGCCUCCUUCCCUCCACCCCCUCCCCACACAGCAUAGUGUUCAAUUCCUGGUUACCUUUCAGGAGGGAGAAAGACAAGAGUGUAUUUACAGGGAGUAAACAGGAUGAUGAAGGCCUCAAAAUCAGGCCAUAAACAGAUUGGUUGAAAACUUGGGGAUCGUUGUAUUGAAUAUUUAGGAAACGAAAUGGCUGCUUUUGAAUGUUUUACGUGCAAAAAGAGAUAAAUGUUAUUCUGUAAAGGCUCCAGGAGUAAAUAUAAUAAGAGGAAGCUAACCAGUAACCAGUUGCCAUCAAGUCAGUUCUUAACUCAUGGCUCAGAGAAAUGUAUUUAUGUUCAUUAUAAGAAAAGAAGAUUCUAGCAGAGUUGUCCAGAAUGAUUUACACCUCAGGUACAUUGUGAACUAGAAGAGACCAAAAAAAAAAAGAUUUUUUUUUUUUAUUGAGUACCUAUUAUGUGCUCAACACUAUUGAGGCACUUUCACAGAUUUGUUGCUUCCAACUGAGAGUCUGUUGCAGCUCCACGUACUUUUCUCCAAACCCUAUUUUUCGUGACUCACUGACAAGCCUGCAAAGAGCAUAUAUGAGUUAAAUUUGUGGGGUAGAACAUCCUAGGGGAUAAACCCUGGAGGGUGUUGUGUAUGUUCAAGUUGUGAGUUCUGUGGUAGAUGGAGAAGUUGGCCAGGGUGCGGAAAGAAGGAAGCAUAUCACUUAGUUAUUUUCUGAUUCUCAGCAGCAACCUGAGAUCUUCCAGAAGGGGUUACAUAGUCCUGACCAGCAUAGCUUUGUGGCGGCCCUCCUGUCAGCCAUAUUACCACACUGCCAAGAAGUAUGAGAGGGCUGCUUUGAAAGCUCUGUCCAAUGUACGAAUGUCCAUUGUCUUCCAUAUAGCUCCUGUGGGUACUGGUGGGAGACAAGAUGCCUUUCUUGAUAUGAGUUCCUGGUUGUUUACUGGAGUCAACAAGACUGUUUUGUCAUUCCUUGUACUUCUGGAUCCAAAGAUCUAAGAGAACAGAGGGGCCCCCAAAUCUGCAGUUCACAUAAACAAAGUGACAGAGUAACAGGAAAUGGGCCAGGGCACAGAAACGAAGACAUUCCCCAGAACAAUGGGGCAGGGUAUCAGAAACUAGCCCACGAACUUCUUUAAAGUUGUCUCUCAGAAGCAACCAGAUGAAACGAGCCCCAGAGACAUGCGUCGAACAUCCACCUGUGACCGCUGUGUGACCUUUCACCAGGGGCAGUGAAGGGCUGCAGCCGCAGCUGGGGAAUCGAACUCAGAGCGAGAGACUGCGCAGGCAUGACACCCCAUAAGUCCUACUAUGAAUUCCAGAGGCCUGUGGGACAGGAGCCAUCUUAGAAAGCAGCUGCGCGUGCACCUUAGGUAGCCUAUCCCCACCCAAAACUGGCUAGUUACCGGAAAACCGCGCCUGUGCCUCUGAAUAAACAUGAAUUUUUUUCACACUCAAGUAUUUAAAAGCCCGUGCAAGUCCUUCGUUCUGUGAGAUGGGCGGUAAGCAUUGCCUAGGCCUUCCUUACCUCUGCUUGCAAUCCUCUUCAAUAAAGCUUUCCUGGUGUGCCUUACCUGCUCAUUCUUGACCAGUGAGAGGCAAGAACAUUAUUUAAUUAAAGGCAUAGAGACUCUGGCAUCA